UAGGACAUGCUUGCUCAAAACACCGAAGC
rnacentral:piRNA from 1 species